AGAUGAUGACGUUGAUGAGGUUCGUAGUGGUGCUGUGCGCCCUUACUGUCCUGCUCCCUUCUUCUCUAGGUUUAUCAGAAGGUGACUCGGAAGACAAAAUAGUAAAGCGAGGUGUGUCUAAGAGGUGUGUGGAUAACGCCAGUUUCCGAACUUGUCAGAGAGCCGCUGAGAACAACCUGUGUUCUUUAAAGGGUAAACUUGGUGGAUUUGGGUCCUCUAUUAGGGCCAGAUGUGCGGCCACCUGUAGGAUGUGCUAGAAGUCCACUUGGUAACGUCAUAACAAGCCGGUUCCAUGAGGAAACAGAUUUGAUCCGGGAGAUUGUAUUUUUUAAUUGCAGGAUAUAUUUAUCAAUUGAUUUUGUCGUUGGUAUAUUGCUUAAUUGUAAUGAUUGAUUAUUCAAUUUUUUUAUCGCUUCAA